CAACCUCAACUCAUAUGGGACUACCCCCUGAAUUUAAGCAUAUUAAUUAGGGGAGGAAAAGAAACUAACAAGGAUUUUCUUAGUAGCGGCGAGCGAAAAGAAAUCAGUUCAGCACUAAGUCACUUUGUCUAUAUGGCAAAUGUGAGAUGCAGUGUACGGAACAUCAACAUUCUAGUAUGAGAAGUUAACGAUUUAAGUCCUUCUUAAAUGAGGCCAUUUACCCAUAGAGGGUGCCAGGCCCGUAUAACGUUAAUGAUUACUAGAUGGUGUUUCCAAAGAGUCGUGUUGCUUGAUAGUGCAGCACUAAGUGGGUGGUAAACUCCAUCUAAAACUAAAUAUAACCAUGAGACCGAUAGUAAACAAGUACCGUGAGGGAAAGUUGAAAAGAACUCUGAAUAGAGAGUUAAAUAGUACGUGAAACUGCUUAGAGGUUAAGCCCGAUGAACCUGAAUAUCCGUUAUGGAAAAUUCAUCAUUAGAAUUGUAAUAUUUUAAACAAUAUUAUAAUAAUAGUGUGCAUUUUUUCCAUAUAAGGACAUUGUAAUCUAUUAGCAUAAAUAUUUAUCAUAAAAUUAUGUCUGAUUGCUUAUUUGAAUUAUAUGCUUGGCAUUUUAACAUAAAAUAAAAGAUAUAAAUUUGAUAAAGUGCUGAUAGAUUUAUAUGAUUACAGUGCGUUAAUUUUUCGGAAUUAUAUAAUGGCAUAAUUAUCAUUGAUAUUUGUGUUUAUUAUAUGCAUUUGUAUGAUUAACAAUGCGAAAGAUUCAGGAUACUUUCGGGA
rnacentral:ncRNA from 1 species